rnacentral:lncRNA from 1 species
UUUGGGCUGCCAGCCCCCAGGUAUCUCCUGCCAGCAGCUAUUCCCUAGAGCUGCCCUGGGACUAAGGGCAGAGGGGGGUGCCCAGCUUCAGCCCUGCCUAUCACUCAUCCCCUCUAUCAGAGGAAGAGAGGUUGGCAGGAAGCGGAUCUGACCUCUAGGGUGGCCACAGUCUCUCCGGAGGGCUACAGGGGCCCCUGGACAGGCAGCAGAGGCCUGCAAAAGACUUCCUUUCCCUUCCCUGGGCCCCAGGGAAGAGAGGCAGGAAGAAGGGCCUCAGCCACAGGCAUCCAGUAUGGGGCUGGCCAGAGAGGGAGGCCCCCAGGGUUGCAGCUAUCAGCCGGAGACCAGGCUCCAGGAAGGAAGGAAGGGCAACUCUGGCCAAGACUGAGAUAAGGAGGGAACCGUGCUCAGCACAAUGGGCUCCCACAAGGCUGGGAGGCCCCAAGUCAGAUUUCUCCCCAACCUGGCCUCCUGUCUGUUCACACGGCUCAUGUAAAUAUUUACUGAUGUUAAUAUUCACGGUCUGCUGGGUCCCCUCUGAGGCCCUCUCCUAUGACCCACAGAUAGAUCUGUGUGCCCCAGACCAUGCCUGCCCUUAAGCCUAGAGAUCCUGGGCCCAUCCAGCAAGGGCUAUGUGCAUUGUUCUCUCUCAUGCAAUCCACAGGGACAGGCCCUUCAGAAAAAAGUCGUCCUCUUGUUCCAGCCCAGGGACACUGGGGAACUUACGGGGCCCGGUCGUGGGCGAGGCCAUUCUGCCGCUGAGGGUUGAUUGGUGGAAGGACAGGUUUGCUGUUGAUCUCGAGUCCUCUCCUCAGGGUCUCCCGGAUCUGCUCUGUGUCUGCAACGACACCACUAAGUUGCCCAGUGGCCCAGUGGGCUCCCAGCAAUUCUCACCCCGCUCUUGAAACCUGGCUCAGCAGAGGUGCUAAGAAAAACUACCACGCUGGCCAGUCCUGAGCCCACUCUACGCAUCCAGAUGUAAGCGCUGAGCCCGAGGUUUACCCUUAACAUGGCUCCACACAGUGACUGACUACUGGGGAUUCUGCCCACUGAAAUGGAUGUGAGUUAAGGCUGCAAGCACCCUGCCAUGAAUGGGCAGGUGCCUCUAACACACCUUUCUGGGUUCUGGGUAGUCAACUAGCAUCUGGUCCCGCCACUCCUUCCCCUUGCAUUCAAGUCAGUGAGAUGCUAAGAUCAUCUCUCCACCUUGGUCUAUCCCAGGAAACUCUGCCUCUCCAUGGAGAGGCAAGGGCCAGGAAGUGAAAGAGUUCCCUUGGUGGGAUUAUUUCUUUGUAAGGUGCUUUGCUGGUCUUUGGGAUGAAGCUUACUAGUCUGGUCCCCUGUAUUGAGAUUUGGAUCUAAAUUUACCUCUGCAAACUGUAAACAGAUACAAAAAAGCAAAUUAAAAUUAGUUGCUCAAAGAGUGGCCUUAGAGUGGGAAGGAGAUGAUUACUAACUUUUCUAACUAUUUGACUUGUUACAGUGGAAUGGAUUACUUUUACAAUUUUUAAAAAUAGCCAGUAAUGACUGAAAUUUUAGACAAGACUAUGACUCCCUCUUUAAAUCACCUCUUUUGUCAAAAGCAACCAAAUGAUUCCAAUAACUGUAUACCCUCUCUUUGAGCCUCCAAUAGGCUUGGCAUGCCAUUAGAACAAACAGGAAGGAAAGAAAGGGCUUGGCCGGGUGCGGUGGCUCACAUCUGUAAUCCCAGCACUUCGGGAGGCUGAGGCGGGUGGAUUGUUUUGAGCUCAGGAGUUUAAGACCAGCGUGGGCAACACAGCGAAGCCCUGACUCUACAAAAAAAUACAAAAAUUAGCUGGGCGUUGGUGGCUCACGCCUGUAGUCCCAGCUACUUGGGAUGCUGAGGCUGGAGAAUCACUUCAGCCUGGGAAGCAGAGGUUGCAGUGAGCCAAGAUCAACCCACUGUACUCCAGCCUGGGCAACAGAGACCCCUGUUUCAAAGAAAAAAAAAAAGAAAGGGCUCAAAUAUUUGCACUAGGAGUUUAAGUUUGUCCUUUACAGAACGAACAAAAACCUUUUAUAAGUGUUAUCAUAUAUGUAAGGAUUUUAUUCAGGGCUGUAGACAUCUUAUUCUUCAAAAAAAGAAAAGAUGGAAGAAUGAAGAAAGGAAGUAGACAAAGAAGCUGUCAACACAUGUAUAUGUAAGUGGCUGCUUCUCCUUUGCAGUUAGCUGGGGACGCCCUCUACUAAAAACCACAACUGUUUCUGUAGCCAAGAUCAGCACAGGGAGAUUCCAACAGGACAGCCACAUCCUCCUUCCCAAAGACCCCAUCCGGAACACGGUGGGUCCAGAGGCCCUGCCCACAGCCCCUAACCCUGUAUCUAUAUGACAGGAGGUGGGCAAUUUGCAAGCCAGCCUCACACUCAGGCCUCAUUUGUUGAAGGCCUGGGAGGGCCCGAGGCCAGAGUGAUCCUUGGAUCUGGCAUGGCCUUCAGGCCAGAGCUGGGCCCUGUGUCAAUUCCGUGGGUGGCCGACACUUUUCUCUUGCACUUGGGUGGACUAUGGACUUUUCCUGUAACUGUUCUGAGGCUUCCACUCACCUCCAUGACCUCAGAUUGCAAAGGGCAUAUCUAAAACACAACGGUGCCUGCUGGUGAUGCAUUUGAAAUACACACAGGAAACACAACUAGGAAUGGGCCAAUAAAGCUCCCUUAAUUCCGCCCUGCUGGAAGACUUCACUUGCUGUUUAAAUCAUGCCAGGAAAUAAACUAUUGAAUGGGUUGUUUUUGUUAGAGACCCAUCCUAGAGAGACUGGAAACCAGGCCCUGGGGAAAAGGAAGGAGGAAGGCUGGUGGAAUGCUGAGUGAUGGCUCCCACCUUUGCCAGAGAGUCGCCGGGGCUGUGUGCCGAUGCAGAUGCUCCGGCUGUCCUCGUCAUCCUCGGGGGGCCGGCUCAGGUCAUCCCAGGCACACUUGGCACUGACACCACUCAGGUUGGAGCCAUCUGUCUCGAUGCCUUUGUCAACUCUCUCCUGCUUGAAAAGAACCAAAGAGCCAGAGUUCUUUCAGAGAACUGGUGACCCAAGGUGACCACCCUUUCAGCCACUGCUCUUACAGUAUUUACUGAGCCCUUGUGGUGCUGAGCAUGGGACAAAUGCUGGAGAGCAGGAUCUCUGACCUUGUUCUGCCCUGGUUACCAAUGCAUGAUGGUCUCUGCCAGCUCCUGGACUCCUCCAGGGGAACCAGGGAUUAGGGGAAGCCAGGAGGAAUGCAAAUCCCAAGGGAAACAUCUCUUCUACCAUCAGCCUUCCAGCACAAUGGCCUCUACCUGUUUCAGAGCCCCAAACCUGUCCCCGCCACGCUGGCUGGUGGGGCUGAUGUGGCCAUGAGAGAGCCUACUUCUCUGAGGAGAGGUGUGAUCCUUCCUCUCCUCCCGAUCUUCAGGCAGAACCUCCCAGUCACUGCUAUAGAAAACAGGGUGGAAGCCUGCCACAGGCAACAGGCCACACCUGCAGUUUCCCCUUCUAACAGCUAGAGGGUGUGGUCACACAGGGAAGAGCCACUGGAGAACAAAGGCUGGACUUCCCUAGAUGCAUUGGUUCCCUUGUUUAGCAAAGGACUCUGGAUGGAGAUUCCUUCCCAUUUCUUAGACUGAAAUGGGGGCCUAGAGUGCAGUGACUAUCUGCAGACACCCUUCUCUCCCCAUCGAGACCCUGCCUUUGUGCAGGCCUUGGUACUGCUGAGUACAAACACUCUCCAAAUGGCUUCAAGGAAGAGUUGUACUCAAAACAUCCCUGGAUUUUCUGGUAAAACACAGUUCAUUGAUGCUGGACCUUGAAUUAAAAGUCAUCUGGAAGGCUCUAUGUCCAUGUGGGCCAAAUCAAGCUUGUGACUGAGCAUCUCAACAAUAAUCUGUGCUUCCCGGCUCCACAGGUACCACACUGGCCUGCUGAUCAGCCCAGAAGCCCCAUGUGGGAGAAGUACAGGUACUGUCCUUAUUUCCUGGGACCAGUCAGCAAGUGGCUCUGCCCCAGACGCCUCCUUCCCAUCAGUCAUCUCCUCCUUUCAAGUGCUAAUGCUGGCCUGGGCAAAGCUGUGGGUUCCGAGCAGGAAGAGGCUAAGCAGGGAAGCGCUCUGUGUACUCUGGGCAGGGAGCAUGUAUACCCUGGUGUGCUCAGGGGAUAGUCUGAGCUUUUUCCUCUGCACUGGCUGCCCUGGGGUCCCUCACUUAGGUAAAGAGUUGCAGACAGACAAUUCUUGGCUCAACUUGUCUGGGCUAUUUACUUUAUAAGUAAAAAGAAAAAGUUAAGACCCAGAAGGCGAGGGACUUAUUUGGGCACACAGCUGGUUAGUGUAGAGCUUGAAUCACAGGAAUAUAUGCCAGCUCUAAAGAGACUGAUAGCAAGCAGGCCCCAGAAAGGCACAGUGAAUACAGAGGAGUUCACACUUGGUGCACAGAGCCACCAGGAAAGAAAGCUGUCCUUUGUUCCUGUGGGACCCUGGCUUGCUUUCAAAGACCACUAGGUGCUCCGGGUCCUGUGGGCUGCUCUCAGGGGAUCCUGCAGACUAGGAAGAACAGCCCUUGGCAUGGAAGGACAGCUGUUUACCCUACUAGUGCAAAGGACCAGGUUCUUUCUUAGUACUUGGCACUUAUGACAGGGGCCAAACAACGGCCCACAGUGCCCCAUGCUGGAUCCCAGUGUGGCUACAGAACAAGGGCUUAGGGAAAGAUAGCCUUCCUGGUUCCUGGUUCUUGCAUAUGCAGAAGAUACAAGGAAACCAAGUUUAAAGCAGAGAGAACAGAGGAUCCUGGCAGCAGUUUGAAAUGUUCAGUGUUAAAGGCACUAGGAAAACAGAGGAGCAUCAUCUGUGAAUGAAGAGGAUUUAUGCCCAAGAACUCACAAGUCUACAGUGAAGAACUCAGGGGCUGCUGGCUACAUGUCCAUCUGCCACCUUUCUCUUGCUCUAACACAUGGAACUCCCGGCAACUGCCUGUGGCCUACCAGAUAUUUUACAGAAGCAUGGCAGGUUUAGAGAUGGCAAUGACCUGCAUUUGGUCAGGGGAGUAGAAGGAGCCAGACACCAGGCAGGUAACAUUAUUAGCUGUCUGUGGCUCCUGCUUCAAGAGAAGCCCAUAAGAAAGGCAGUUAUGGGCCAGGCGCACUAGCUCAAACCUGUAAUCCCAGCACUUUGGGAGGCCGAGGCGGGCGGAUCAUCUGAGGUCAAGAGUUCGAG